rnacentral:rRNA from 1 species
GGUUAAGCGACUAAGCGUACACGGUGGAUGCCCUGGCAGUCAGAGGCGAUGAAGGACGUGCUAAUCUGCGAUAAGCGUCGGUAAGGUGAUAUGAACCGUUAUAACCGGCGAUUUCCGAAUGGGGAAACCCAGUGUGAUUCGUCACACUAUCAUUACGUGAAUACAUAGCGUAAUGAAGCGAACCGGGGGAACUGAAACAUCUAAGUACCCCGAGGAAAAGAAAUCAACCGAGAUUCCCCCAGUAGCGGCGAGCGAACGGGGAGCAGCCCAGAGUCUGAAUCAGCUUGUGUGUUAGUGGAACGGUCUGGAAAGUCCGACGGUACAGGGUGAUAGUCCCGUACACCAAAAUGCACAGGUUGUGAACUCGAAGAGUAGGGCGGGACACGUGGUAUCCUGUCUGAAUAUGGGGGGACCAUCCUCCAAGGCUAAAUACUCCUGACUGACCGAUAGUGAACCAGUACCGUGAGGGAAAGGCGAAAAGAACCCCGGCGAGGGGAGUGAAAAAGAACCUGAAACCGUGUACGUACAAGCAGUGGGAGCCUCUUUAUGGGGUGACUGCGUACCUUUUGUAUAAUGGGUCAGCGACUUAUAUUCUGUAGCAAGGUUAACCGUAUAGGGGAGCCGAAGGGAAACCGAGUCUUAACUGGGCGUUAAGUUGCAGGGUAUAGACCCGAAACCCGGUGAUCUAGCCAUGGGCAGGUUGAAGGUUGGGUAACACUAACUGGAGGACCGAACCGACUAAUGUUGAAAAAUUAGCGGAUGACUUGUGGCUGGGGGUGAAAGGCCAAUCAAACCGGGAGAUAGCUGGUUCUCCCCGAAAGCUAUUUAGGUAGCGCCUCGUGAAUUCAUCUUCGGGGGUAGAGCACUGUUUCGGCUAGGGGGUCAUCCCGACUUACCAACCCGAUGCAAACUGCGAAUACCGAAGAAUGUUAUCACGGGAGACACACGGCGGGUGCUAACGUCCGUCGUGAAGAGGGAAACAACCCAGACCGCCAGCUAAGGUCCCAAAGUCAUGGUUAAGUGGGAAACGAUGUGGGAAGGCACAGACAGCCAGGAUGUUGGCUUAGAAGCAGCCAUCAUUUAAAGAAAGCGUAAUAGCUCACUGGUCGAGUCGGCCUGCGCGGAAGAUGUAACGGGGCUAAACCAUGCACCGAAGCUGCGGCAGCGACACUAUGUGUUGUUGGGUAGGGGAGCGUUCUGUAAGCCGUUGAAGGUGUACUGUGAGGUAUGCUGGAGGUAUCAGAAGUGCGAAUGCUGACAUAAGUAACGAUAAUGCGGGUGAAAAACCCGCACGCCGGAAGACCAAGGGUUCCUGUCCAACGUUAAUCGGGGCAGGGUGAGUCGACCCCUAAGGCGAGGCCGAAAGGCGUAGUCGAUGGGAAACAGGUUAAUAUUCCUGUACUUGGUGUUACUGCGAAGGGGGGACGGAGAAGGCUAUGUUAGCCGGGCGACGGUUGUCCCGGUUUAAGCAUGUAGGCGGAGGUUCCAGGUAAAUCCGGUACCUUUU